AUGAAACACUCCUACGGGAGGCAGCAGUGGGGAAUUUUGGACAAUGGGCGCAAGCCUGAUCCAGCAAUGCCGCGUGCAGGAAGAAGGCCUUCGGGUUGUAAACUGCUUUUGUACGGAGCGAAACGGUCCGGGUUAAUACCCUGGGCUAAUGACGGUACCGUAAGAAUAAGCACCGGCUAACUACGUGCCAGCAGCCGCGGUAAUACGUAGGGUGCAAGCGUUAAUCGGAAUUACUGGGCGUAAAGCGUGCGCAGGCGGUUUUGUAAGACAGGCGUGAAAUCCCCGGGCUCAACCUGGGAAUUGCGCUUGUGACUGCAAGGCUAGAGUGCGGCAGAGGGGGAUGGAAUUCCGCGUGUAGCAGUGAAAUGCGUAGAUAUGCGGAGGAACACCGAUGGCGAAGGCAAUCCCCUGGGCCUGCACUGACGCUCAUGCACGAAAGCGUGGGGAGCAAACAGGAUUAGAAACCCUAGUAGUCCGAAGUUC
rnacentral:rRNA from 1 species